rnacentral:rRNA from 1 species
GGCGCAGCCUGAUCCAGCCAUGCCGCGNGAGNGAAGAAGCCUUCGGGNUGUAAAGCUCUUUCGGCGGGGACGAAACGGUUCGUGACAACACCACGGACUAAUGACGGUACUCGCAGAAGAAGCACCGGCUAACUACGNGCCAGCAGCCGCGGUAAUACGUAGGGNGCAGGCGNUAAUCGGAAUUACUGGGCGUAAAGCGUGCGCAGGCGGCUCCUUAAGNCAGAUGNGAAAUCCCCGGGCUUAACCUGGGAACUGCGNUUGAAACUGGGGAGCUAGAGUGUGGAAGAGGGGGGUGGAAUUCCAGGUGUAGCAGUGAAAUGCGUAGAGAUCUGGAGGAACACCGAUGGCGAAAGCAGCCCCCUGGGCUAACACUGACGCUCAUGCACGAAAGCGUGGGGAGCAAACAGGAUUAGAUACCCUGGUAGUCCACGCCCUAAACGAUGUCAACUAGUUGUUAGGGAAGCAAUUCCUUGGUAACGAAGCUAACGCGUGAAGUUGACCGCCUGGGGAGUACGGCCGCAAGGUUAAAACUCAAAUGA